GACGAAGGGGGCUAGCGUUGUUCGGAAUUACUGGGCGUAAAGGGCGCGUAGGCGGUUCCUUUAGUCGGGCGUGAAAGCCCCGGGCUCAACCUGGGAAAUGCGUUCGAUACUGGGGGACUGGAGAGUGGGAGAGGUUGGUGGAAUUCCCAGUGUAGAGGUGAAAUUCGUAGAUAUUGGGAAGAACACCGGUGGCGAAGGCGGCCAACUGGACCAUUUCUGACGCUGAGGCGCGAAAGCGUGGGGAGCAAACAGG
rnacentral:rRNA from 1 species